rnacentral:rRNA from 1 species
UAGAGUUUGAUCCUGGCUCAGGAUGAACGCUAGCUACAGGCUUAACACAUGCAAGUCGAGGGGCAGCAUGCAGGUAGCUUGCUAUCUGUGAUGGCGACCGGCGCACGGGUGAGUAACGCGUAUCCAACCUUCCCCGUAGUAGGGCACAGCCCGGCGAAAGUCGGAUUAAUUCCCUAUGUUCUUGACAGCAGACAUCUAACGUCAAGCAAAGAUUCAUCGCUAUGGGAUGGGGAUGCGUCUGAUCAGGUUGUCGGCGGGGUAACGGCCCACCGAGCCAGCGAUCAGUAGGGGUUCUGAGAGGAAGGUCCCCCACAUUGGAACUGAGACACGGUCCAAACUCCUACGGGAGGCAGCAGUGAGGAAUAUUGGUCAAUGGAGGCAACUCUGAACCAGCCAAGUAGCGUGCAGGACGACGGCCCUAUGGGUUGUAAACUGCUUUUAUAAGGGGAUAAAGGAUGCCACGUGUGGUGUUUUGCAUGUACCUUAUGAAUAAGGACCGGCUAAUUCCGUGCCAGCAGCCGCGGUAAUACGGAAGGUCCGGGCGUUAUCCGGAUUUAUUGGGUUUAAAGGGAGCGCAGGCGGGCGAUUAAGCGUGACGUGAAAUGCAGCGGCUCAACCGUAUGAAGUGCGUCGCGAACUGGUUGCCUUGAGUGAGUUCGACGUGCGCGGAAUUCGUGGUGUAGCGGUGAAAUGCUUAGAUAUCACGAAGAACUCCGAUUGCGAAGGCAGCGCACGAGGCCUUUACUGACGCUAAAGCUCGAAGGUGCGGGUAUCGAACAGGAUUAGAUACCCUGGUAGUCCGCACGGUAAACGA